rnacentral:rRNA from 1 species
CAGUCGCCGCGGGAAUACGUAGGUGGCAAGCGUUGUCCGGAAUUAUUGGGCGUAAAGGGCUCGCAGGCGGUUUCAUAAGUCUGAUGUGAAAGCCCCCGGCUCAACCGGGGAGGGUCAUUGGAAACUGGGAAACUUGAGUGCAGAAGAGGAGAGUGGAAUUCCACGGGUAGCGGUGAAAUGCGUAGAGAUGUGGAGGAACACCAGUGGCGAAGGCGACUCUCUGGUCUGUAACUGACGCUGAGGAGCGAAAGCGUGGGGAGCGAACAGGAUUAGAUACCCCUGUAGUCCCUGUCUCUUAUAC